ensembl:lncRNA
AGAAAUGAACCUUAUUACAAUUUGUUUAGCCUGCAUCUCUUUGACAGCAUGCAAAGGUCUCUAUCAAAAACCCUCACCAACAAUGCACUACAAAGCUAUCAGGGGAGAAGUGUUUAUGAUGCCAUGUAAGAACUGGUCCAGGGUUGAAAAGGAGAUUUACAACAACGACUUUGCUCAGUUCAAAGCUGAAGUAUCACACUCGGGAAAUUACACAUGUUUAACCAGCACUGGUUGGCAGUUCCUCCAUCUCGAGGUUGUUGAUAACACAUUGGGAUGUUGGAGUGCUAAGGAGAGCAGAGUGACACUGAAGAUCGGAGCUGGAGGAUAUAUCACAUGUCCAGGACACAACUGCAGCAAUAGCACCAAUACUGUCUGGUACAAGGUACAGACACAUAUAGGCCUAAGUGAAGUAAUAAUGCUAUA